GGUAUAAGAGACAGCAGCAGCCGCGGUAAUACGUAGGUGGCAAGCGUUGUCCGGAAUUAUUGGGCGUAAAGCGCGCGCAGGCGGAUAGGUCAGUCUGUCUUAAAAGUUCGGGGCUUAACCCCGUGAUGGGAUGGAAACUGCCAAUCUAGAGUAUCGGAGAGGAAAGUGGAAUUCCUAGUGUAGCGGUGAAAUGCGUAGAUAUUAGGAAGAACACCAGUGGCGAAGGCGACUUUCUGGACGAAAACUGACGCUGAGGCGCGAAAGUCAGGGGAGCGAACGGGAUUAGAUACCCCAGUAGUCCCUGUCUCUUAUACA
rnacentral:rRNA from 1 species